rnacentral:lncRNA from 1 species
GGGGCCUCAUGUAUAUGCCAGCAGGCAUGUCAACCCUAGCUCUGCUCCACUUGGGCCUGGAAGUGUUGGUCGUGGGACUGAGAAGCCCCAAGCCUCUACCCAGGAGGGUGGGGAGUAGUGCUGUUUCUCGCCUUCGAAGGGGAGGGUUGCAUCCAAGGUCCCGGGGGGCUGGGGGCGUCUCUGGGGAAGGGCGGGGGAGGGAAGGUGCCUGUUGGGCAGGGGAUGUGAGAGGAAGCGUUGCCAGGCCGGGGCAGCACCCUGAGGACCGUGUCCAGGCCCUUCCUGAGGCGGAGCUAGCAGGCUGUGCUGUCCUGUCGGGGUGCGGCGAGGGCCCUCCCAGAACCAAGGGGAGGCAGCGCAGCGUGACCAGCAGCCUGACAGCAUCAGGGUCCACGUGCAACUUGGUGACAAAGACCAUCCUGCUGGGAUGUACAGAAUGGGGUUCUUCCAGGAGUCCAUCAGCCUGGCCGUCCUCUCUGUGAGCUCAGAAGAGACUGCCCCCGAGAUCGAUGCCAUGCCCCCGCAGCAUGUUCCCAGGCUGGGGUCUAAUUGGAGCUGCAGCUGCCAGCCCACAGCAACGCUGGAUCUGAGCCGCAUCUGUGACCUCUACGUCAGCUUGCAGCAACACUGGAUCCUUAACCCACUGAGCGAGGCCAGGGAUCGAACCCCCGUCCUCAUGGAUGCUGGUCGGGCCGUUCCUCCAGAAGUUUGGCAGCCCCACCAGCCCCCUCGCUCCCGGGGGGGGCCUUGCCCCUCCAGCCUCCGCGCUGCUCUCCGCACAGAGCUGCCGUGGCCGUGGCUGAGCGAGCCCUGGGUGGGGCGAGCAACCUCUUCGACACACACAGCGCUCCUGGCCAUGGCGCAGCGCUUCCGGCAGAACCGCAGUGAACUCAUGACCACCUGGACCUGUGGGUCUAUGACGGGGGGAGGGGGGGCCCAGCCCUGUCCCUGGAUUCCGGGGAGCAGAUGCUGCGGGCGACCUGACCGGCGACACUGUCUUCAGCUACUGCUGCAAGGCUCUGCAAGACGCUGCUGGCCUGGCGCCAGCGCUGGAAGUCCUUCCUGCACUUGGAGACCACUGAGCCGCCCUCUGGCCCUGGAUCGCCAUGGAGGAGGGCUUCCAACUGGUGUGUGAGCUGGGCACGCUGGACUGGAUCUACCACGAGCCAAGCCCAAGUGCCUGGCUCCCAAAGACAUGCCUGUGGCGGUGCCUACUGACGGCCGCGCCCUCGGAGCUGUCCCUCUCCCUGGUCAGCCUGCUGGUCAAGGGCAUGACGGUGCUGAAGAUCCAGACCAUGGCCGCCAAGCUCCUGCUGGGGCCCAACCCGAUGAACACAAAUCGUGGGCUGGCUGCUGAGCCGCGGUGUGUCCAGGGAGCGGGUGGACCGGUGAACCACCAGGGUCCUCCUGGAGCUGCCCAUCAAAGGGGCCAAGCACAGCCGGGGCUGAGGCCCCCCACGUGCUGGUGGAGGAGCAGCCCCUGCCUCCCCGGUCCUCUGACCAGGCCUGCAGGGAGGAGCUGCAGUGCACCAGGACUACGCACCCCACAAUCCAGGCCACUUUCUGCUUGGUGCUGGGAGUGGAGCAGGGGCCCAUGUCGGAGAGACACAAAGUCUUGGCCAAAGCGCCUCCUGAUCGUCCCCAGGAUAGACAGAGGGACAGCACCCCCAGCUCCAGCCAUCUCCUGCCAGGCCAGACCCUGACCACGCAUCCUGAAAACCUCGGAGAGGGUCCUUGCCCCCGCCGCCGUGGGCAUCACUGGCCUGAGCUGGUGGAGAGCAGCCAGUUGGCUGGCGUUGCUGGUUGAGGGGAGAGAGUCCGUUAAAUAUUUCAGUCUGUUACACCUUAGCCUGAUAAGCGGGGUGGGUGGGCACCCACCGUUGUGCCACACGGGCCCCCAACGCACUACAGGCCAAGCUUGAGACCCCGCAUCCCACCCCGCAAAAGCACCUUCAAGUUUGUGCCCUUGCCCUUGAGGUUUUUUCUUUAACGCGGUGGCUGUACCUGAUACUUGACUUUAGGCGUGUGCGGCGCUUGGGUUUAGUGUCCUCACUACUGCUUUUGUGAUGGUUUUUCUCUAAGUUGUUUUUUUUGUUUGUUUUUUUUGCAAUGCCCUUUUCUUGAAAUGGAAUUUUUUUGCCUUUUGCUUUCCUGGGAAAAGGGCAGCCAGUCCCUUCCAGUUUCUCUCGCUGCACGCGUGGCUGGAGUGUCUGCAUCACCAGAGUUCCAGCAUUGUGAGGAUGGACAGCCGUGGCAGGUGGUGCCGGACACCAUUAAAGAGCCCAUGUGCUGCU